rnacentral:lncRNA from 1 species
CAUCACUUUAUCUGUGAGUGAAGCCAGGCUCAUUCCCCCUGCCUUCCCGUGGAAAACCGGGAGCAACUUUGGCGGACUGUCUCCUCAACGAUUCAUGUUAACCUUCUGGCCUGUAAAAUUUAUUUCUAAUUAAACGUGUAGUAUUUUAUUUGAAACGACUUGGUUUGUUCAAAGAAACCAGUAGGGGAGUCAGAAGGCAAAGCACAGACUGGGAGAAAAUACUUGCAGCACACGUAACCCAAAAAAGGACUCCGGUCUAGAAUAUGUAAAGAACGCUCACAAAUCAAUGACAAAACUCAAACAACCUAAUUUAAGAAAACGGGCCAAAAAUUUGAACUGGAAGUUCCUGAAGACAGACACCCAAAUGACAAUGAGCACGUACUUGAUGGUCCGUACUGAUGGACGCCCGGGUUCUCCUGGACACCUGCUGCAGCAAACACAGGCGCACAAGGGUUUGUCUCAAGGUAUGUGUUCAAUGCUUCGGGGCCUCCGAGUGGAAGUGUUGGGUCACGUGACAACUCAUAACUUUUGAGGAAACUCCAGACUAUUUCCCGUUGUCCCCACUUCACAGACGAGGGACCGCAG